AGAAAAAAGAACAUAGAAUGUUAGCCUACAGAAAGGUCUUGAAUGACAGAAUUCUAGAAUGUAGAAUAUUAGAACUAGAAGAAGCCUGGGAGAUCACUUUGUUCAAACCCCUCAUCUAACUCAAGAAUAGACUGAGGCCAGGAGAGGGAAAGUUUGCCCAAGGGCACAUAGUUAAGUCACUGAUGGAAUUAGGCAGAUGAAGCUAUUUGGACUUAUUUCAAUUCAAUUAAGAAGCACUGCAGGUCUUUGGUCAGAGCCAGCAGAUUCUGUUCUACUAGUGCCUGGGGAACAGGCCUCUUUCCAGUUACAUACUUGGGGCUCUGAGCUUCAGCUCUCAACACAUUCAGCCCUUGAAACUCCAAGGCCCAAGGUCGGUUAAAGGUGGGGAGAACCAGGCUUGGCCAGCCCUGCAAAAAUGAGGAAAUCAGCCAAUUUUGUCUUCAAGGCCUCCAGCUUCCUCUGCCUGGGGAAAAUCAUAGAUCCGAGGAAUGUCAAAACUGCAAGAGAUUUUAGAACACAGAACAGAAAAUAUCAGAGCCUGGAGACCUCAGUCUAUGGAAGUUUAGAGCUGAAAGGAACCUCAGAGGUCAUCAAGUGCCAUGCUUCUCAAAGUGUGGUCCAAGGGCCUGGUGGUCCUGAGUCCUGA
rnacentral:lncRNA from 1 species